UUACUAUAGCUUGACACUGAACAUUGAGCCUUGAUGUGUAGGAUAGGUGGGAGGCUUUGAAGUGUGGACGCCAGUCUGCAUGGAGCCGACCUUGAAAUACCACCCUUUAAUGUUUGAUGUUCUAACGUGGACCCGUAAUCCGGGUUGCGGACAGUGUCUGGUGGGUAGUUUGACUGGGGCGGUCUCCUCCUAAAGAGUAACGGAGGAGCACGAAGGUUGGCUAAUCCUGGUCGGACAUCAGGAGGUUAGUGCAAUGGCAUAAGCCAGCUUGACUGCGAGCGUGACGGCGCGAGCAGGUGCGAAAGCAGGUCAUAGUGAUCCGGUGGUUCUGAAUGGAAGGGCCAUCGCUCAACGGAUAAAAGGUACUCCGGGGAUAACAGGCUGAUACCGCCCAAGAGUUCAUAUCGACGGCGGUGUUUGGCACCUCGAUGUCGGCUCAUCACAUCCUGGGGCUGAAGUAGGUCCCAAGGGUAUGGCUGUUCGCCAUUUAAAGUGGUACGCGAGCUGGGUUUAGAACGUCGUGAGACAGUUCGGUCCCUAUCUGCCGUGGGCGCUGGAGAACUGAGGGGGGCUGCUCCUAGUACGAGAGGACCGGAGUGGACGCAUCACUGGUGUUCGGGUUGUCAUGCCAAUGGCACUGCCCGGUAGCUAAAUGCGGAAGAGAUAAGUGCUGAAAGCAUCUAAGCACGAAACUUGCCCCGAGAUGAGUUCUCCCUGAGACUUAGAGUCUCCUGAAGGAACGUUGAAGACGACGACGUUGAUAGGCCGGGUGUGUAAGCGCAGCGAUGCGUUGAGCUAACCGGUACUAAUGAACCGUGAGGCUUAACCUUAC
rnacentral:rRNA from 1 species